CCCUUAGAUGUUCUGGGCCGCACGCGCGCUACACUGAUGCAUUCAACGAGCCUAGCCUUGACCGAGAGGUCCGGGUAAUCUUUGAAACUGCAUCGUGAUGGGGCUAGAUUAUUGCAAUUAUUAAUCUUCAACGAGGAAUGCCUAGUAAGCGUGAUUCAUCAAAUCGCGUUGAUUACGUCCCUGCCCUUUGUACACACCGCCCGUCGCUCCUACCGAUUGAGUGUGUUGGUGAGGAGUUCGGAUUGGCAGUAGGUGGUGGUUCGCCACCGCCUAUUGCUGAGAAGUUCUCCAAACCGCCCCACUUAGAGGAAGGAGAAGUCGUANCA
rnacentral:rRNA from 1 species